AGUGAACGCUGGCGGUAGGCCUAACACAUGCAAGUCGAACGGCAGCACAGUAAGAGCUUGCUCUUACGGGUGGCGAGUGGCGGACGGGUGAGGAAUACAUCGGAAUCUACUUUUUCGUGGGGGAUAACGUAGGGAAACUUACGCUAAUACCUCAUACGACCUACGGGUGAAAGCAGGGGAUCUUCGUACCUUGCGCGAUUGAAUGAGCCGAUGUCGGAUUAGCUAGUUGGCGGGGUAAAGGCCCACCAAGGAGACGAUCCGUAGCUGGUCUGAGAGGAUGAUCAGCCACACUGGAACUGAGACACGGUCCAGACUCCUACGGGAGGCAGCAGUGGGGAAUAUUGGACAAUGGGCGCAAGCCUGAUCCAGCCAUACCGCGUGGGUGAGGAAGGCCUUCGGGUUGUAAAGCCCUUUUGUUGGGAAAGAAAAGCAGCAGGUUAAUACCCCGCUGUUCUGACGGUACCCAAAGAAUAAGCACCGGCUAACUUCGUG
rnacentral:rRNA from 1 species